UCUAUAUACACAGGUGUUGGUUUAAUUAAAGAAGAAAGGAAAAACCAAUUUCUAACUAACUACUAAUUGUUAAACUAAUUGUCAAAACACAGACAAAUCGAGUGUGCUUUGAUCGUCUUUACACAUGCUAUAAGUGAAACGGUGUGUUUUGCUCUUCUAUGCCAAGCCUUAUUGAAUCGGUGAGUAUUGGACCCUUUUCCAGAUUUCUUCUUUCCAAUCGAGUCCUCUGGCUUAGUUCUUCAUUCUCCAUUUGUGCUUCUCAAUUCUGGAAACACUGACUUGUUUCUUUGUUGAUUUGAAUAGUGUCUGAUAGUUUGUUUGGAGGCGUAUGCUCUUGGUUGCAAGCCAAUUUGGUUAUAUUUUCCUUUGCUUUGUCGAGUGCAUUUACGUAAGGCCUCAGAAGUCAGACCUACUUCAAUUUCUAUGAAUCAAGUUUAUGCCUAUUGUAUUCGGGCUUC
rnacentral:lncRNA from 1 species